UUCAAAUUUCCUUCCAUUGUUUUUUGGUUGUUGAAGGGUUUGAGCAUGAGGAAAAAGGUGAUUUUGCAACCUCAACAAAGCAUUUCAGGACUACAACAAAAUGGUGCAAUUACAUCUAUUCGUGGACUUUGAAAUAGAAACAAGGUGACUGUUUGUGCAUGAAUAAAGGCUUGCCAUUGCCCUAGCUGCUGUUGUGGGACAAAGCCAGUGUAUAUGUACAGAAGUUGCGGGAUACAAUGUUCUCUCUCCCCUCUUUAAUUUCAGUUUUUUUUUCUUUUAAUAGAAUUUCGUCAAAUAUUUUGGUUCUGGAUUUUUUGUGUUGAAGAAAUUUACAAUAAAGGUAUUUUAUGACGUUCUGUGUUCGUAAAUAUCUUAUGUAGAACAACACAGAAUGUUGACUGAUUUUGAAGGUGCUGCAAGAAAAAACGAAGUAGGGUUUCGCAUUUGGCCUAGCAAAGAGUUCCACCAGUACCAGGUUGUUGGGAGGAAGCUACCUACGGCAUCUAAUGAGCACCCCAAGAUUUACCGAAUGAAGCUCUGGACCACAAAUGAGGUAUUUCAUGAGGAAGCUGAAGAAGGUCAAGAAGAGCAAUGGCCAAGUGCUUGCCAUUAAUGAGUCAAUGUUUUUUUGCGGUGGGGAAGUGGUUCCUUCUCAACUCUCCUCCUAGCGAAAUCCAAUUUGUUGCCAAAGAUGUGAAGGAGGCUGCGUCAAAGGCAUCCUCUCGAAUAUUAUGAAAACCUAUUUCUCUGCACAUUCCUCUCAAAAACUUAAAUGCUUUAUGCUCCACCAUAGCCUUUGGUGACAUGAAGCAGAAACAGGGAAGGAAAUCUCAUAUGAAAUGGGUAUUUUAUGUUGGAGUGAUAGUAGUUGUCAAAAAUGGCAUCAAAGCUUGGCAAAUCUAUGCUUGAUGGGGUUGGUGUUACGGUUUGAUCAGUGAUAGGACUUUUGGUUAAAUCCCAAGCAGGGAAUGCAUUCUUUGCCAUAGUUCCCGGACAGGUCCUCUUGGCUUCCCUUGAUGCUAUCAAGUUAAAACCCCUGCAAAGGACAAGAAAGAAUAGCAGCCACCUCUAUAG